GACGAACGCUGGCGGCGCGCCUAACACAUGCAAGUCGAACGGUGAAGAGGAGCUUGCUCCUCGGAACAGUGGCGGACGGGUGAGUAACACGUGAGCAACCUGGCUCUAAGAGGGGGACAACAGUUGGAAACGACUGCUAAUACCGCAUGACGUAUCGGGAUGGCAUCUUCCUGAUACCAAAGAUUUUAUCGCUUAGAGAUGGGCUCGCGUCUGAUUAGAUAGUUGGCGGGGUAACGGCCCACCAAGUCGACGAUCAGUAGCCGGACUGAGAGGUUGAACGGCCACAUUGGGACUGAGACACGGCCCAGACUCCUACGGGAGGCAGCAGUGGGGGAUAUUGGACAAUGGGGGCAACCCUGAUCCAGCGACGCCGCGUGAGGGAAGAAGGUUUUCGGAUUGUAAACCUCUGUUGACGGAGAAAAAAAUGAUGGUAUCCGUUUAGAAAGCCACGGCUAACUACGU
rnacentral:rRNA from 1 species